AAAAAUCCCUUUCUUUCUAAAACUCCUGUUUCCAUCUUGAAGCCAGAGGCAGCAAUGUUUGCUGCUGAUUUGACGUGGGUGUGAGCAGAGGAUAGAAAAGGUGGUUUCAAGGCUUUUCACCUAAACAACUGGAAAGUCACCAGCGAAUCUGAACCAAAGACAUGUUACCACCAUCGAAAAAGAUCCAUUUGCUUCAAAUUACCCUUUGAUUUUAAAAUGUCUUCACUGAGCAACAGAUGUCCUGGGUGCCAGUGGCUGGUUCCUACCUAUCUUUAACACUCAUCCCUGGCUGUGUUCUUCUGAAGUUUGGAGUCAAGAUGGCACUGCAGGAGCUUUAUAUGCCUAAGUGUGGCCAUGGAAAAGACAACUAGAGUUCCUCAGAUCUUCCAGAUAUUCCCCUACAUUAUCAAGACUCUCUUGCAGAAUGAGCAGAAUUCCAGAUGUUCCCCUACAUCACCAAGACUCUCUUGCAGAAUGAGCAGAAUCUGCACUGUGUCACUUCUGGAUGGAGGUAGCUAGAAAUCAGUGUGCUCUCUCCUACGCCCUUUCUCCCACUGCACCCCACUGGAAUACCAAGCAUUCCAAAUGGCACAGUGAGAAGCUUCAAAAGGGACUGGCCCAUAUUAGACUGUGAUGUGAAUGAAAAAUAUGUAUUUAUUGUAAUCAGUCACUGGUAUUUUAGACAUUUGUAUUACUAUUUAAUUACACACCUAUACUACUUAAGCCAACAUUCUUA
rnacentral:lncRNA from 1 species